ensembl:misc_RNA
ACCGAGUUGCCUCAGUGUUAUACGGGGGAAGAAGGGGCGGGGGCCAGGCCUCCCGCUUCCGACAACCAUUGGAGCGCCUCGUGCUGGGCGGGCCUAAAACUACAUUUCCCAAGGAUCACAGCAGGCACUAACCGGAAGGGGCGGCCUCAAAUCCAUUGCGCACGCGCACCAGGAGUCUGUCCUUAUAUAAGAGAGGU